rnacentral:rRNA from 1 species
GAUGAACGCUGGCGGCGUGCCUAAUACAUGCAAGUCGAGCGAACAGAUAAGGAGCUUGCUCCUUUGACGUUAGCGGCGGACGGGUGAGUAACACGUGGGUAACCUACCUAUAAGACUGGGAUAACUUCGGGAAACCGGAGCUAAUACCGGAUAACAUUUGGAACCGCAUGGUUCUAUAGUGAAAGAUGGUUUUGCUAUCACUUAUAGAUGGACCCGCGCCGAAUUAGCUAGUUGGUAAGGUAACGGCUUACCAAGGCAACGAUACGUAGCCGACCUGAGAGGGUGAUCGGCCACACUGGAACUGAGACACGGUCCAGACUCCUACGGGAGGCAGCAGUAGGGAAUCUUCCGCAAUGGGCGAAAGCCUGACGGAGCAACGCCGCGUGAGUGAUGAAGGGUUUCGGAUCGUAAAACUCUGUGAUUAGGGAAGAACAAAUGUGUAAGUAACUGUGCACGUCUUGACGGUACCUAAUCAGAAAGCCACGGCUAACUACGUG